rnacentral:rRNA from 1 species
AGAUUGAACGCUGGCGGCAUGCCUUACACAUGCAAGUCGAACGGCAGCACGGGAGCAAUCCUGGUGGCGAGUGGCGAACGGGUGAGUAAUACAUCGGAACGUGCCCAAUCGUGGGGGAUAACGCAGCGAAAGCUGUGCUAAUACCGCAUAAGAUCUACGGAUGAAAGCAGGGGAUCGCAAGACCUUGCGCGAAUGGAGCGGCCGAUGGCAGAUUAGGUAGUUGGUGAGGUAAAGGCUCACCAAGCCUUCGAUCUGUAGCUGGUCUGAGAGGACGACCAGCCACACUGGGACUGAGACACGGCCCAGACUCGUUACGGGAGCAGCAGGUGGGGAAUUUGGACAAGUGGG